rnacentral:rRNA from 1 species
UACGUAGGGGGCAAGCGUUGUCCGGAUUUAUUGGGCGUAAAGAGCGUGUAGGCGGCCAGGUAGGUCUGCUGUGAAAACUCGAGGCUUAACCUCGAGAUGUCGGCGGAAACCAUCUGGCUAGAGUCCGGAAGAGGAGAAUGGAAUUCCCGGUGUAGCGGUGAAAUGCGCAGAUAUCGGGAAGAACACCCGUGGCGAAGGCGGUUCUCUGGGACGGUACUGACGCUGAGGUGCGAAAGCGUGGGGAGCAAACAGG